rnacentral:rRNA from 1 species
CAGCAGCCGCGGUAAUACGUAGGUGGCAAGCGUUGUCCGGAAUUAUUGGGCGUAAAGGGCUCGUAGGCGGUCUCUUAAGUCUGAUGUGAAAGCCCCCGGCUCAACCGGGGAGGGUCAUUGGAAACUGGGAAACUUGAGUGCAGAAGAGGGGAGUGGAAUUCCACGUGUAGCGGUGAAAUGCGUAGAGAUGUGGAGGAACACCAGUGGCGAAGGCGACUCUCUGGUCUGUAACUGACGCUGAGGAGCGAAAGCGUGGGGAGCGAACAGGAUUAGAUACCCCGGUAGUCCCUGUCUCUUAUAC